rnacentral:misc_RNA from 1 species
GGGAGGGCCAGGCCGGGGGGUGGGGAAGUGCGUUACUGUCUUCUUCCCUUGCAUGCAUAAGCAAAACUCUUGUCCUCAAUUCAGUGAGGCUACAUUUUAGCCCCUUUCCAGGUCUGAUUUUCACUUCUAACACAUCUAUGUGUAUUCAUACUUGCUCAUAUUUCUAAUUGACUUGAUAUUGUAUUUGCUUUAUAUUGGGACUUUUAUGGUUUGAUUCAAUCUAAUGCAUGUAGAUUAGCCAUUUAAAAUCUAUAUAUGUGCAUUUAAGUUAUAUUUUCACUAGUUGACUAGUGAUAUUUGAGGUUGAAAACAGUUGAUUUCA